ACACGUAUAUGUCAUUUAAAAGUUAUGUUAUGCAUACAGGAGCAGCAACUGAGGGAAGAAGAAGCCAAGAAAGAGAUAGAGCUAUGUAGACAACAACAGAAGAUACUGGACGAAGACAUGAAGAAAGAGAAUGAAGAAAAGAAGAGGAGGAAUAUUGAAGAAAUCAAGAGGAAAAUGGCCGAGACAAGUUAGAGACUCUGAAAAAGACUCCAUUAGGAGCAAGAGCAUUUGCUGAUGUUACUGCAGCUGAUAUGAAGGAUCUGGAUGCUGAUGAGAUAUUGUUGAAGGAACUACAGCAGAUGGAUAAAGAGAGAAGGGAUAAAGAAACCAAAUUAAAAGGACAAAAAGAUUUGAUUACAUGGAAAGAGCAAAGAAAAUGGUUGAGAUUUCACUGCUAGAGAAACAGUACCAGGCACAUAUUAAAGAGGACGUGGAGUUUUUCUUAAUAAAUCUGAGACCCAGAGGAGCAUGAAAAGUCAUUGAAGCUUCAAUCCAGAUUCCAGACUUCAAAAGAUGGAGAAAGAGAGACUUGUGUUUGUGAAAACUGUAAAGGACAAAAGAAAAGAAAAACUCACUCACUGAUGAAGCUUCUAUUUAACUUACAAAAGAGAUGUUAGACUUGCAAAAAGGAAGAAGAUGAACAAUUUGAAAAGAAAUAGAAAGAUGAGGGGAGAAGUAGGAGAACAUAUUGCCCACCUCAUGCUCGUAGAGAUUUGUAGUAUCCCAGAAUCGUAUUACUAUAGGACCCUGAAUUUUAAUUAAAUGUAAUGUGUUGUAAUGUAUGCCUAGACUUAAUCAUUGGUUGCAUGUCUUGUCUGUAGUAGGUCUAAUGUGAAAGUAUUUCUUAAUUUGUGUUGUAGUAUAUAAAUGUUUGAUUCUGUGGUUAUUUUUUUGAAUCUUUUGAUUGUGAAUAAUUGUA